CUUGGUCGUGCAUCCCGUCCACCAGCCACUCGCGAAUGCGCUCAACGUCGUUCAGUGGCCCGUCAAGAGGAGGGAACUGGUUUUCAUCCUUGUAUCGCGAUAUGCCAACAAGGAGGGCGUAGUCCUGGUCAGCCAUUUCGACGCUCAUGCGCUGAUGAUUUCCACCAACGACUUCAGAGUCGGCUCAUCGUUGUCGAAGUCGCCGUGGUGCUGCGAAUCACUGUUCAGGCCCGCAGCCGCGCCUUCCGCUUUCGACCAAACCAUUCGGUGCGGCUGGGCAUUGAGGAACUUCCAGACCUUUUGCACCUUCUGGUCAUCGCUGAACGCC
rnacentral:misc_RNA from 1 species